AGUGAACGCUGGCGGUAGGCCUAACACAUGCAAGUCGAACGGCAGCACAGUAAGAGCUUGCUCUUACGGGUGGCGAGUGGCGGACGGGUGAGGAAUACAUCGGAAUCUCCUUUUUCUUGGGUGAUAACGUAGGGAAACUUACGCUAAUACCGCAUACGACCUACGGGUGAAAGCAGGGGAUCUUCGCACCUUGCGCGAUUCAAUGAGCCGAUGUCGGAUUAGCUAGUUGGCGGGGUAACGGCCCACCCAGCCGACGAUCCGUAGAUGGUCUGAGAGGAUGAUCAGCCACACUGGAACGGAGACACGGUCCAGACUACUACGGGAGGCAGCAGUGGGGAAUAUUGGACAAUGGGCGCAAGCAUGAUCCAGCCAGACCGCGUGGGUGAAGAAGGCCUUCGGGUUGUAAAGCCCUUUUGUUGGGAAAGAAAAGCAGCAGGUUAAGACCCCGCGGUUCUGACGGUACCCAAAGAAUAAGCACCGGCUAACUUCGUG
rnacentral:rRNA from 1 species